rnacentral:misc_RNA from 1 species
AAGAGGAGCCAUAGGAAUUCCCUGAAAACAGCUUACAUCAGAAGAUAUGCAUACCCAAAUUCUCAUCAGCAACAAGAAAACAUGCAUGAAUGCCACCAUUCAACAAGAAGCAAAAAAUUAUAACAUGACAAACUCCCACAGACAUCCUAGUGGAAAGCAGCUCUGAAAACCAAUGAAAACAAGUUACCAAUCAAUUCUAAAACAAUAAAUAAAU